rnacentral:rRNA from 1 species
GAUGAACGCUGGCGGCGUGCCUAAUACAUGCAAGUCGAGCGAACGGACGAGAAGCUUGCUUCUCUGAUGUUAGCGGCGGACGGGUGAGUAACACGUGGAUAACCUACCUAUAAUACUGGGAUAACUUCGGGAAACCGUAGCUAAUACCGGAUAAUAUUUUGAACCGCAUGGUUCAAAAGUGAAAGACGGUCUUGCUGUCACUUAUAGAUGGAUCCGCGCUGCAUUAGCUAGUUGGUAAGGUAACGGCUUACCAAGGCAACGAUGCAUAGCCGACCUGAGAGAGUGAUCGGCCACACUGGAGCGGAGACACGGUCCAGACUCCUACGGGAGGCAGCAGUAGGGAAUCUUCCGCAAUGGGCGAAAGCCUGACGGAGCAACGCCGCGUGAGUGAUGAAGGUCUUCGGAUCGUAAAACUCUGUUAUUAGGGAAGAACAUAUGUGUAAGUAACUGUGCACAUCUUGACGGUACCUAAUCAGAAAGCCACGGCUAACUACGUG